GGAUUUUCUUAGUAGCGGCGAGCGAAAAGAAAAUAGUUCAGCACUAAGUCACUUUGUCUAUAUGGCAAAUGUGAGAUGCAGUGUAUGGAAUAUCUUAAAUCUAGUAUGAGAAAUUAACGAUUUAAGUCCUUCUUAAAUGAGGCCAUUUACCCAUAGAGGGUGCCAGGCCCGUAUAACGUUAAUGAUUACUAGAAGAUGUUUCCAAAGAGUCGUGUUGCUUGAUAGUGCAGCACUAAGUGGGUGGUAAACUCCAUCUAAAACUAAAUAUAACCAUGAGACCGAUAGUAAACAAGUACCGUGAGGGAAAGUUGAAAAGAACUCUGAAUAGAGAGUUAAAUAGUACGUGAAACUGCUUAGAGGUUAAGCCCGAUGAACCUGAAUAUCCAUUAUAGAAAAUUCAUCAUUAUAACUUGUAAUAUGUUACAAUAUUAUAUAGUGAUAGUGUGCAUUUUUUCUAUAUAAGGACAUUGUAAUCUAUUAAUAUCAUUUUAUUUAUCAAAAGAUCAUUUGCUUAUGUUUAUUCAAAUUGGAUUGCUUGCAAUUUAACAUAGAAUAAAUGCUUAUGAUUUGAUAAAGUAUUGAUAGUUUUAUUAUAUAUAGUGCUUAAAAUUAUUAAUUUUUACGAUAACAUAUUUAUUUAAAAUAUUUAUGUUCAUUGUAUGCACUUAUAUGAUUAACAAUGCGAAAGAUUCAGGAUACCUUCGGGACCCGUCUUGAAACACGGACCAAGGAGUCUAACAUAUGUGCAAGUUAUUGGGUUAUAAAAAACCUAAUAGCGUAAUUAACUUAACUUGUUAUAAUGGGAUUAAUUUUUAUUCUAUUUAAUAGUUUAUUAAUUCAAUCCCGGGGCGUUCUAUAUAGUUAUGUAUAAUAAUAUUUAUAUUAUUUAUACCUCUAACUGGAGCGUACCUUGAGCAUAUAUGCUGUGACCCGAAAGAUGGUGAACUAUACUUGAUCAGGUUGAAGUCAGGGGAAACCCUGAUGGAAGACCGAAACAGUUCUGACGUGCAAAUCGAUUGUCAGAAUUGAGUAUAGGGGCGAAAG
rnacentral:rRNA from 1 species